rnacentral:rRNA from 1 species
GAGGAAUAUUGGUCAAUGGGCGGGAGCCUGAACCAGCCAAGUCGCGUGAAGGAAGAAGGAUCUAUGGUUCGUAAACUUCUUUUGCAGGGGAAUAAAGUGCAGGACGUGUCCUGUUUUGUAUGUACCCUGAGAAUAAGGAUCGGCUAACUCCGUGCCAGCAGCCGCGGUAAUACGGAGGAUCCGAGCGUUAUCCGGAUUUAUUGGGUUUAAAGGGUGCGUAGGUGGUUUGAUAAGUCAGCGGUGAAAGUUUGCAGCUUAACUGUAAAAAUGCCGUUGAAACUGUCGGACUUGAGUGCAAAUGAGGUAGGCGGAAUGCGUGGUGUAGCGGUGAAAUGCAUAGAUAUCACGCAGAACUCCGAUUGCGAAGGCAGCUUACUAAGCUACAACUGACACUGAAGCACGAAAGCGUGGGGAUCAAACA